rnacentral:misc_RNA from 1 species
AAGUCGGAUGUGCCGCAAGGUGCAUGGCAGACGGGUGAGUAACGCGUGGGGAACCUACCCUUUAGCGGGGAAUAACGCUCCGAAAGGAGUGGUAAUACCGCAUGAGACCGGUGGCUGGGAUGUUGCCGGUGAAAGCUGGGGAUCGAAAGACCUGGCGAGUGAAGGAGGGUCCUGCGUCUGAAGAGCUAGUUGGUGGGGUAACGGCCUACCAAGGCGACGAUCAGUAGCCGGCCUGAGAGGGUGAUCGGCCACAAUGGAACUGAGACACGGUCCAGACUCCUACGGGAGGCAGCAGUGGG